UCUCACUGUUUCCUGUUUGCUCUCUGUCUUUUGUGGCACCUUUACUCUCUGCUCCGUGUCUGCACACCUGUUCCUCGUUUAAUUAGUUGUAUUUAGUUCCACCUGAGUCCCUCCUUCACUGCUUCAUCAUUAUUCUUUUUUGACGGAUGUGGAUCGGACGGGUUUUAUUCGCAAGCCAAACAUUCCUCCCGCUGUGCCAACCUCACCUGUGGGGUCCCUAGGGCUCAAUACUGGGUUCCAUCCUGUUCUCCAUCUACAUGCUCUCCCUCAGCCAAGUCAUUCAUCGCCUUAAAAUUUCCUUUCAUUUCUACACUGAUGAUACUAAAUCUAUCUUCCACUCAAGACAGACGAUCCCUCUGGACUGGACCAUUUGAAGGACUGCUUGCAGGACAUAAAAGAGUGGAUGUCAAAAUUUCCUGCAGCUCAAUGACAGAGUGAAAUUCUUCUGUUCGGGAACUCCAACCCCCCAACUGUGCACAAUAGCCAAGAUCAAGUAUGUCCUCUCCCCCAGUGACUUAGAGGGUCGUGUUCAUGCUCAUCUUCUGCAGACUGGACUAAUGGAAUGCCCUCUAUGCUGGGGUCACUAACAAGACCAUAUAUAGCAUGCAGUUGGUACAAAAUGCUGGUGACAGGCACAAAAAUGAGGGAACACAUUUCUCCCAUCCUCUCCUCCCUUCACUGGCUCCUGGUGAAGCACAGAGUGAAAUUUAAGAUCCUUACGUAUGUCUUCAAAGCGCUCCGUGGUCUUACCCCAGCUUACAUCAAACAUCUCCUGGACCAACCUAUCAGCUCCAGGCUUGGUCGUUGCCUCAGAUCUGACAACCAGAUGACCUUGAAGGUCCCACAGUCAAACCUAGUGACAAAGAGAGACUGUGCAUUUUCAAUGAUGGUACCUGGCCUAUGGAAUAAGCUCCCCCUGAAAGUCAAGUCCGCCACCACUCUGGACACUUUUAGAGCACAGCUUAAAACUCACCUCUUUGCCGCAAAUGACUUGAUUUGUGUUCAUGUGUCUUAAAUGUUUGUUCUAAAUUCC